CCUGGCUCAGGACGAACGCUGGCGGCGUGCUUAACACAUGCAAGUCGAACGGAUCAUCAGGAUUUCGGUUUUGGUGGUGAGUGGCGAACGGGUGAGUAACACGUGAGUAACCUGCCCCGGACUCUGGGAUAACGACUCGAAAGGGUUGCUAAUACCGGAUAUUGAAUCUCUGUCGUGUGGUGGGGGUUUGAAAGUUUUUUCGGUUCGGGAUGGGCUCGCGGCCUAUCAGCUUGAUGGUGGGGUGAUGGCCUACCAUGGCUUCGACGGGUAGCCGGCCUGAGAGGGCGACCGGCCACACUGGGACUGAGAUACGGCCCAGACUCCUACGGGAGGCAGCAGUGGGGAAUAUUGCACAAUGGGCGAAAGCCUGAUGCAGCAACGCCGCGUGCGGGAUGACGGCCUUCGGGUUGUAAACCGCUUUCAGCAGGGACGAAGGGUUUCUGACGGUACCUGCAGAAGAAGCACCGGCUAACUACGUGCCAGCAGCCGCGGUGAUACGUAGGGUGCGAGCGUUGUCCGGAUUUAUUGGGCGUAAAGAGCUCGUAGGCGGUUUGUUGCGUCGGAAGUGAAAACCCAGGGCUUAACUUUGGGCUUGCUUUCGAUACGGGCAGACUUGAGGAAGGUAGGGGAGAACGGAAUUCCUGGUGGAGCGGUGGAAUGCGCAGAUAUCAGGAGGAACACCAGUGGCGAAGGCGGUUCUCUGGACCUUUCCUGACGCUGAGGAGCGAAAGCGUGGGGAGCAAACAGGCUUAGAUACCCUGGUAGUCCACGCCGUAAACGGUGGGCACUAGGUGUGGGAUCCAUUCCACGGGUUCCGUGCCGCAGCUAACGCAUUAAGCGCCCCGCCUGGGGAGUACGGCCGCAAGGCUAAAACUCAA
rnacentral:rRNA from 1 species